UUCCAGCCAGGUUUUCCUCUCUGACAUGUCUUUGUAUCAUUAUAGCUGUCACCUCUCCAUGUGUCAUCAUUCUGUAUCAUUAUGAAUGGGAUUAGCAUUCCUUAUACAACAUGACUGAGGUAGUCUAUCCAUUUCUUCUGUUUUGUCAAGGCACAACUAGAAAGAGUCUAUGUAUGAAGAACAGACUGUCACUAUAUACUGUUGGUGCUUGCAACUUGAUCUUGGGUUUCCUACAUUUGGAACUGAGGCCAGAAAUAUUAAACUCUUCAUUUGCAUGGAGACAUCUGAUUGUGAAAGGGUGCUAUUUGCAUGAAGAAUUGUCAGCAAUGGGAAGUCCCUAAUCUUUCUGUUUACUUGGUAGUAGGCUGAAGGGAAAGUUCUUACAUUAACUUUGACACCCAUGUAGCCCCCGUUUUAAGUACCAUGGUUCUGCUAAAUCCUUAACCUUUAUUUGCUCUUCACCCUUACACAUUAUUUCAUGAUUACUUAUUUCCAGAUUGAAUGGCCUUAUUUGGUUUUUCAACCAAGUAUUCCCAGAUCCAGGCCUUUGCUCUAAUAGAUUUUAGUGAAUGCUAUGGACAGUGAUUGUGUGUGUGUGUGUGUGUGUGUGUGUGUGUGUGUGUGCGCGCGCGCGCGCGCGCGUGCAUGUUAGUUACAGCAUAGAUCAGUAUAGCAAACAACUUCAAGUGAAAUAUUCAUAUACUUCAUGCUUAAAGCUCCUCGGCAUCUCUUUUCUACUUGGCACCAAAGAAUCUCCACCAGCUGCUACUUUAUCCAUAGUCAGCAUCUUGCUGUGUUUCUGGGAUCUCUCUCAAGACUUUUAGAGAGCUUUCUUUUUCCUCUCCAGUUUGUAGGCUUUUCCCACAUCCAACCUUAAAAUAUCCUGAGUAAUUUUUCUUAUUUUCCCAGCGUAAGAUGUGCAGCCAGCUCUCAGACCUUUGAUUAAUUAAGUCUGUUAUACUUAUCUGAGAAUAAGUUUAAACACUAUUAUACUGUUUCUGGGUUGAAAUCCUAGGGUCAAUAAUGUUUUUAUUGCUCAUCAGCCCACACAUUGGAUUUCAAAAGAUGCUAUCAUGUAUAUAUUUAGUAGGUAUUGUCUAAGUUAAUAAGUAACUAGUAGGCUCAAGGGUGCAGAGAUAAGGAAGUUAACAAGCAUGCGGACGAAUAUACAUGUUCAUUCAAAAUAAAACCCUAGAAUAACAUUUAAAAAUAAUUUUGAAAAAUAAUUAACAAACCUGACUCAUGUCCUACAGGGAAAUAAAUAUGUUAACUUUUGGGGUUAUUUCUACUCAAUAGAAAUCAUUUACAACUUGUCGGUUUUCUGAAAACUAAUAUCCAAUUUAGCAAAAUGUUUGAGUCAGUUAAAGGUUAAAUUUAGAAAGAAUAUUAGUUAAUUUCCUCAAGUGCACUGGCUGUAGAAGAGACCAGUAGUUCUGCCCACAUUCAGGCUGGGUCUUCUUUCAAAAAUUGUUCUAGAUGCACUUUCAUAGAUUUACCCAGAGCUGUGUUUCCACGGUGAUUCUAAACCUCAUGAAUCCUACUUCAUUAUGCAUUAGGUAUUACAUAAAUCAUAAAUUCCAAACAAUUAUAAAAUAAUUACACUAAUUAAGGAGGAUAUAAGCAUGAUGUUACAGAAUGUGCAAACAUGAAGGAAAAGAACACAAGCAUAUAGAUGGCAUAUAUAGACAACAAAGAAUAUUGAUGCAAAUUUAUUAAUAGAUACACAGCAGGUUGAUAUUAAAGAGGAAGAUCAAUAGUACCACCUGAACACAUUUAUUUGUAUUUGCAUGAACAAGCAUAUCUUGGAUUGUUAUUGGUCUUACAUAAUGCUCUGAGUUGUAAAACAGUUUAUAUCAGUGACAGGGAUAAAGAGCUUAGGAGAAAUUUCUAGAUAGUACAUCCAGAAAUCUUUCUUUGCCCGAGUCAGUCUUCUGCUAGUUUUUCUGGAAAGACUCUGAACAAUAGUAAGUAGUAUGAUAAUGGACAAUACCCUUCUCAUUACUCCCCUAGCCCCUGUGAGCAUCAGCUGUCCCUUACAGGGAGUUGAAUAUAUAAUGUUCUGCGAUAACUUUAAAAAGGAAUGCAAGAAUGAUUUUGCUUUUUGCCCGUGCUUUCAAUACUUCCUCUUAAGCAUAGUUCAUAUCAUAGAUGGAAUUCUUUUACUACAGGUCAUUAUGACCUGCAAGGCAGGCAGAGGGUAUUUGUCGUGUAAAUGGAAGGCUCCCAAUAUGAAGUUUCAGUAUCGCUGUCAGCAAAGGAUACCUAUUUCCCAAGUUCACUGGCUGUAGAAAGAACCAGAUUCCCUUUAGGGGCAACUCAUCACAGUAUUAUACCUUUCGCAGGACCAUAGACACUUGUCUUCUCUGACAUGGAACUAUAACUAUAUGUACUUCAAAAUUUUACCAUGUUUUCCCUAAUGUCUAAAGUUCCUAAGAGGACGAUAAAAGAACUAGGACACUCUGUUCAUCUUUUCUGCCUUAUUUGGUGGUCAUUUUGUAUAUGGCAGAAAACUCUAAGGUGGUUUUGGGUGUUAAAGAUAAAGGUAUUAUUUAUAAACGACUGCUUUAGUCCUUGUAGAUACUGAAUGAAGGCACUGGUCCCACAAGAUGCUUUCUGCCUCAGAGGAGGCUUCAAGGGGAUGAAACUUCCUGAGGCAGUGUGCUAAGUAGACAUGUAAGUCCUUGCUCAGUGUAGUAACAACUGACUUCCGAGGAGGCUCUGCCAAUGGAAGCCAACAUAGCAAACACUGUUACCUCUCUCCCUAUUUCUCAUCUUCCUUUGUCUUAACCAUAAAACAUUUCAAGAGAACAAGGGGGCAGAAUAAAGGCAGCGUUGGGUAGCUUUUUUGAGGGUGUGGACUGGUGCUAGAUUUGGGAGAGGUGACCUUUUGGUAACAGAUUUCCUUAGGGCAACCCUCUUCAAGCACAGCAUUAAUAAAAAGAAGGCUCAAAUUGGAGACCGCACCCAGUGUGCCCCAGAGGACAGCUACUGUUCUCGAAGUCCUGUUUGGCAAAUCCAGACAAUUUAUUUUCCCUGUGUCAGAGAUAGAUGGAAAUUCAGUUCUGGCACCAUACUCAGGGGUGCUGUGUCCUCUCUGUGCAUCUCUGUUUGCCAUCCUGAUAAGUUACUGGACUGUCUUCUCAUGUCCCAGCCUCUUCUCCUAAACAUCUACCUCAGAGUCCAUGCCCUUUGCUUAAUUUGUUCCAACCAUCAUAGACUACCUUCUUGCCACUUUCGAACUUAUCUGUCAAGUCUCCCACUUAUAAAGUUACUGAAGGCUACAAUAACAUCUUAAUGUUAUUAUAUCAGAUAUUGAUCUAGUAUUUUCUAAAUGAUGACACUACUCCAAGUGCUUUAUACACAUGAGUUCCAAGGUCCCCGUGGAAAACCUUCACGGUAGAGCUGCUCAGAUUGAGAGAUGUGGAGGACCUUUUCUCUGUGUAGUAGCAAACAUGGAUAGGAGAACAAAGCGGUCUCAUUCCACAGUGAGCUAGGUUCACAGGCCCAAAGAAAACAAAAGGUCCAUAUGUUCUGGCUGAACUAGUAGUCAGCUCUGAGAACACAGAGGCUUUUCAAUGACCUUUCCACAGCAGUGAGUCCAAGAACUAGAAUACAAAAUCCCCGACUCAUGAUGUUAGCUAACCAUCAGCUUUUGUUCUCUUUACUUCUUAGUUUUCCUCCCCACUCUGGGAUUUUUUGGUUGGACUUUUUCCUACUGGUGGGUUUUUUAGUGAGCUUAUGCUCACCAUGUGACCAACCAGAAUCCUCCACAUACAUUCAAAUCAACCAACCAUGCUCAUCCCAACUGAAGGUCUAAAUUAUAUCUGGGCAAGUGUAAAAAUCAGCCCAUUUCUGGGCUGUUAAAGAACCUCCCUGAUCCAGAAUAUUAUUUGGGUAACUCAUUUUUGAGUCCCCUUCCAGAUUUUGGCAGCUAUAAGUUUAUUUCUCAAGAAACUUUGUCUGCUGGCCCAUCUUUUACUCUCUGUGGUUAUCAUUCUUGCUUUAACAUAGGAGACAGUCAGUAGAUCAGGGUAGUGCCAUGUAGUCAAACAUAUCCAUGCUCCUUUAGCUACAGACACAGAAAGUCUUACUAACUGGAAAGGAUAAAGUCAAUAAAUAUUCUUCUGUUUGUUUAUGUUAAGCUUUGCCAUCAAGGACCCAUGAGAGAGAUUUUGAUUCCAGAAGAGCAGCUAGAUGCACCAGCCUCUUUUGUCAUUGUUGCCACCAAAUACCCUGCAACUUAAGAAUCGUCUGUUUGCUGGCAUGAUGAGUGGGUAGGAGGGAUGCUGCCAGAAGACGAAAAAAGAAAUGGGAAGAAAAGCUGUGGAACACAUGUACCGAGAACAAGGAAGCAUUUUGCAAGGAACAACUCUGUGAUACCUUCCGGAACUAGAUGAUCAUUCUGAAAGAAUAAUUCCAUCUUUAAUUUCAAGGAUGCUUUAAUAAUGGGACUGAUUUAAGCAGCUAAAUUUGGAAAACUGAAAAUUCAAGAAGACUGUCUAUCACAUGUUCCUGUUUACAUGAAUAUUUUUAAAUACUGAAGGAUCUUUCUACCAAGACUGAUUUUGUAAUUUUCC